GUCUACGGCCAUACCACCCUGAACACGCCCGAUCUCGUCUGAUCUUGGAAGCUAAGCAGGGUCGGGCCUGGUUAGUACUUGGAUGGGAGAAUAGGACUAGAAAGCUGGAUCAGGGCAGAGA
ensembl:rRNA 5S_rRNA 5S ribosomal RNA